rnacentral:rRNA from 1 species
UACGUAGGUGGCAAGCGUUGUCCGGAAUUAUUGGGCGUAAAGCGCGCGCAGGUGGUUCCUUAAGUCUGAUGUGAAAGCCCACGGCUCAACCGUGGAGGGUCAUUGGAAACUGGGGAACUUGAGUGCAGAAGAGGAAAGUGGAAUUCCAAGUGUAGCGGUGAAAUGCGUAGAGAUUUGGAGGAACACCAGUGGCGAAGGCGACUUCUGGUCUGUAACUGACACUGAGGCGCGAAAGCGUGGGGAGCAAACAGG